CAGAAAAACCACCUACAAGGACUCCUCAAACUCUCAAUAAACAUAGACUGUUCUCAUAGGACUCAGACUCUCUUGGACAGAAAUCUUUGUCCCCGUGAAAUACUGCCAUGUCGUCCUGAGAGACAAGAUGGAAAUAAACCUUUCCUCAUGGGAGAGAGUGAAUGCCAGUUGAGACCUCACGAUAUAAAGACACGGCUGCUCACAAAUGUUCCACUGUGAAUCCCUCAGGAGUCCUGAAAUUGGUGAUAGGAUCUCCAUUUUACAGCAGAGGUGACUGAGGUUGAGAAUGAAGGAAGCCAGGCACUCACGCAGUCUUACAAGAUGCAACAACAUUUUCCUCACUUCCUGGAAAUGGCUCCGUUCUAGCAUUCCAACAUGAUCCAGGAGGUAAGAUUUCUUUACUGGAGAAUACCAGAUACAUUCCCAAUCUGUUGAUCACAUUUAGAGACCUAAUGAAUUCCCUAAACCCAUCUUAAACUCAUGGCAGAAAGCAGGUGUGUAUUGAGGAUGCAAAGUAUGCUCUUUGACUGGUCAUGUCAGGAAAUGGACGAAAUCAACCUUUUUGAUCCAGAUUUCAAGCUAUAUACUCUCCCAACUUUACAAACGCACAAAUUCAAUAUGUUUUUAGUCAUUUUUAGUGUAUUAUGUCUAAGGUUUUGUAUUUCUCAGGCUUAAUCUGAAUCACAGCAUUACCCAGGGGCCAUUGUCUCCAUAAUCCAUUCCCAAGUCCAGUAUAAACUUAAACAUAAAGCACGUUCUCAUCUUGCAUUGAGGUCAGUUUGAGGGUAAAAAUCCCAACGGGGGGCAUGUGAUACUGAAGCACUAUUGGGAUGCUUUGUUGGUGGGGCUUUUUUUUUUCUCCCUGUCUUCCACAAAUGUCUUAGUGACAGUGAUGGUUAAGUCAGAGCAUCUCAAAGAGUCUGAGCGUUGAAUCUUCCAAAGUGUUCGAAUCUGUGGUAAGGGAAAUGAAGCACAAGGUAAGUUGAGGGUUGGACUGUGUGCUGUUGGACUCUUGUUCUUGUGACAAGGUCAGCAGUCCCUUGUGGGCAUGUCAGUUCCUGCCCCUGCACAGGCAUGUGUACACACACGUGCACACACACACUCCUGGCUUUUGUUUUUUUCCCAGGUGGGAAACUGUUCUUUACACCUUGACUUGCUGAUCUGUCUUCUACCAGGGAUCCAGGAACAUUACUAAGGGGCAACGGGACUUGGGGUGGGGGUAACAGGCUGGGAUUGAGGUGAUUAGAUUCUAGUCUCAGAUGAGUCCCUAAUAGGGUUUUGGACAAAAUCUCCGUUUUAAAUUUGUUUUCUUAGCUCUAUAGAGUCCACAUGUAAGGUUUUUUGUCUGUUUGUUUGUUUUUGUUUGUUUGUUUGUUUUGAGAUGGAGUUUCACUCUUGUUGCCCAGGCUGGAGUGCAAUGGCACAAU